AUGAUGAGGAGAGAGAAGAACUGGAUUCGGCUGUGGAUUAUUAUCACGAUACAAAUCCGUUGAAGAAUUAUGGGACGGCGAGAUUUAGACCUGAAAACCAACCCUUGUUAAGUAACAUGUUUGAGUGCAUCCAAAAAAAGGCGCCAGGGCCCAUCUCUAAUAGGAUUUUUAUACUUGAUAGGAAGGGAGGCCCUCCACUACAUAUUUUUUGGUUAUCAAACAGGAGCUUAAAUAUUGA
rnacentral:lncRNA from 1 species